GCGGUAAGGCUNACNCAUGCNAGNNGGAACGGCAGCACAGAGGAGCUUGCUCUUUGGGUGGGCGAGUGGCGGACGGGUGAGGAAUACAUCGGAAUCUACUCUUGUCGUGGGGGAUAACGUAGGGAAAACUUACGCUAAUACCGCAUACGANNACGGGUGAAAGCAGGGGAUCUUCGGNCCUUGCGCGAUUGAAUGAGCCGAUGUCGGAUUAGCUAGUUGGCGGGGUAAAGGCCCACCAAGGCGACGAUCCGUAGCUGGUCUGAGAGGAUGAUCAGCCACACUGGAACUGAGACACGGUCCAGACUCNUACGGGAGGCAGCAGUGGGGAAUAUUGGACAAUGGGCGCAAGCNUGAUCCAGCCAUACCGCGUGGGUGAAGAAGGCCUUCGGGUUGUAAAGCCCUUUUGUNNGGAAAGAAAUCCAGCUGGCUAAUACCCGGUUGGGAUGACGGUACCCAAAGAAUAAGCACCGGCUAACUUCGUGCCAGCAGCCGCGGUAAUACGAAGGGUGCAAGCGUUACUCGGAAUUACUGGGCGUAAAGCGUGCGUAGGUGGUCGUUUAAGUCCGUUGUGAAAGCCCUGGGCUCAACCUGGGAACUGCAGUGGAUACUGGGCGACUAGAGUGUGGUAGAGGGUAGCGGAAUUCCUGGUGUAGCAGUGAAAUGCGUAGAGAUCAGGAGGAACAUCCAUGGCGAAGGCAGCUACNGGACCAACAC
rnacentral:rRNA from 1 species